rfam:Valsa mali var. pyri strain SXYL134 unplaced genomic scaffold scaffold00021, whole genome shotgun sequence.
UCUUAUGAUGAGAGUAAUUUGCGAUUGAUUCCGUGACAUGGCUCGCUCGCCUGCGAUGCUAUAUGUCAUGGGUAUUUGAUAGUUUUUCUUACAUAUUCUGAAC